GAGGAGUGUUGAAAUAUCCAACUAUAAUUUGUGGAUUUCUCCUUUCAAUACUAUCAUUUUUGGUGCUUCAUGUAUUUUUGAAGCUCUAUUUUUAGACAGUGAUGCGAGACUGGAAAGAGGACAUGGCAUGGAGUCAGAAGAUUUGGGUUCAAGUUCCCGCUCUGCCAAUUACCAGCUGUAUGAUGUUGGGCCAACUGAGCCGCCUUCUCUUCGAGGAAGUUUUCCCUGAAGCCCUGAGAUGUUCUGCCAAUUGAAUGGAAACUGUCCAUAGUGGGGAGCAGAGAGCCUCAUCCUGUCUGAACUGGACAUCCAUCCUUAAGGCCAGAGUUCUCCCACCACCAACUUUAACUCCUGCCCUAGCCCUCUCUCUUCCUUUUCAAAACCCUCUCCACCCAGGAAGGGAGAUUCUGGAGCCAAGACUGUACCAGCCACACCUCCCCAGAGUUGUUAAGCAAGGAACCCGAAGCCAGGGGUGGUCCUCUGGCAAUCACCCCCAUUACCAAUAGCAGGACAGAUGUGUUUCUGAUGGACUACACUAUCCCCGGAGGUCACACGAUUCAGGCUGCCAAAGGUACCUGCCCUUGGGAAAUCAACUCCUGAAGGUAAAUUGGGAUUGGGUCCUGAGAAGAUCCAUGGAAGCCCGGAGGACCCUGCCUCUCUCUGUUGCUUCAUGCUGUAGAGGCGGUACUGGGGAGGGCUGCCCACAUCCGGUGGGGCAGCUGGGACCAUACGUUUGAUGACACUCUGCUCCCUCAAUGUGGAGCCUCAUCCUCAUCUCACAGUCCAGCAGGCCUCUGGCGGGAUGGGCUUCUCUCACCCAGUGUGUGAGUUUUUUUGGAAGUGGCCUGAUUUUGGAGUUUCCCUCCAAGCCUUUCCCAGGCACAUGCUUUCUCUCCCAUUCUCUCUUCUUUUAUCAAUCUUCUUAAGUCUGAUUUUCUCCUUUUUCCCUCUGUUGUCUCCAUCUUUUUUCCAGUCUCUCACUUCUCUUUCUUUCUCCUCAUAUUUCACUCUGUUCUCUCACCCCUCCCUUUCCCUUCUGUUUCUCUCCCUCCCUCUCUUCCCACCCCCUGCCUGGCCUUCAAUAUAUCAAGCAAAGUUUUAUCACCUUAUGCAGGGGCAGCCCUGCCACUGCCAUAGAGUUGAUAGGCUAAUGACAUUUUGUGGAUAUUGCUAUGUCACAAGUGCAGGGACAGCAUCAAAAACAGCCCUGAUGUCUAAACCACUUCAGCUAUCUUUUUUAUUUUUUAAAUAAAUAUGUUCACAUGAUUUUAAGAAACUAUAAAAAUGUAUAAAGUAAAAAAAUCUUUCUCUCACACUGUCUCCACCUCUCCUGGUCUCUCCAUUGUGCUUUGAAAGGGGAAACCAUUGUGAUUAGUUUAUUCUAUGUCCUUCCAGAGUGUCUUUAUGCAAAUGAAAAUUAUUGUGAUAAUAUAUUCCUAUUUUUCCCCUUACUACACAAAAGGUAGACUACCAUAAUUCCAUUCUGCACUUUCUUUUAUCACUUGAUAAUAAAAACAUGAUUUUAUUAA